AGUCAGGGAUGAAGAUUGAUGAGUAUGAUUUUACUCUCAUCAACAUGCAAUGCCAUCUCUGUACUGAAAAAUUAUAUAUACUUGCCCCCCAAGCUAGUUAAGUCUUCUACGUUAGUGAUCCAUUGGAGCCUCAAUGGGGUGUUGUUGUGAGGAUGGUGCCUAGGCAUAUCUUUGAUGAUACCAAGAUUGAUAAUGAUGUUGGACCAUACAUACAAAGUUUUCCUCUAGGAUAAAGCUUAUCUAAUAUUGUCAAAAUCUCAGAUACAUUUGUUAGG
rnacentral:lncRNA from 1 species